AUUGAACGCUGGCGGCAUGCCUUACACAUGCAAGUCGAACGGCAGCACGGGAGCUUGCUCCUGGUGGCGAGUGGCGAACGGGUGAGUAAUGCAUCGGAACGUACCCGGAAGUGGGGGAUAACGUAGCGAAAGUUACGCUAAUACCGCAUAUUCUGUGAGCAGGAAAGAGGGGGAUCGCAAGACCUCUCGCUUUCGGAGCGGCCGAUGUCGGAUUAGCUAGUUGGUGGGGUAAAGGCCUACCAAGGCGACGAUCCGUAGCGGGUAUGAGAGGAUGAUCCGCCACACUGGAACUGAGACACGGUCCAGACUCCUACGGGAGGCAGCAGUGGGGAAUUUUGGACAAUGGGCGAAAGCCUGAUCCAGCCAUGCCGCGUGAGUGAAGAAGGCCUUCGGGUUGUAAAGCUCUUUCGGCUGAAAAGAAAUCGCACAGGCUAAUACCCUGUGUGGAUGACGGUAUCAGCAUAAGAAGCACCGGCUAACCACGUGCCAGCCGCCGCGGUAA
rnacentral:rRNA from 1 species